rnacentral:rRNA from 1 species
GACGAACGCUGGCGGCGUGCUUAACACAUGCAAGUCGAACGAAGUGGCGAACGUGUGAGUAACGCGUAAUCAACCUGCCCUUCAGAGGGGGACAACAGUUGGCAACGACUGCUAAUACCGCAUACUGCAGGGGGUGAUUUCGUCUGAUUAGUUAGUUGGAGGGGUAACGGCCCACCAAGGCGAUGAUGCGUAGCCGGUCUGAGAGGAUGAACGGCCACAUUGGGACUGGGACAAGGCCCAGACUCCUACGGGAGGCAGCAGUGGGGAAUCUUCCGCAAUGGACGAAAGUCUGACGGAGCAACGCCGCGUGAGUGAUGACGGCCUUCGGGUUGUAAAGCUCUGUUAAUCGGGACGCGGUACCGGAAUAGAAAGCCACGGCUAACUACGUGCCAGCAGCCGCGGUAAUUC